AACAUUCCGAUCUCGUCGUCAGCUUCUAAACCCAUGGCCUUGACAAAUUUAGAACACCAUCCUCUUUGAAAUACGUAGGAAUUAGUACUUGUCCACUUCCUGAACCGAGUCAGACACUAAAAAAUGAAAAGAAAAAAAAAAGUUCUGGCAUCCAAACAGAAAAUAAAGAGGUGGCCAGAAGCCUCCUAGUCCUAGACCAGUACACCGUCAGGCCGAUAUUAGGGUCUGAACUGAAGGAAUCUGAAACGUUUCAUUAUUCAAUUUCAGAAAAGCAGCACCAAUGGCACCUCUGAGAAACACAGGUGGUGCUAUUAUUGUUGCAGCAGCAGCAAUAUCCACGGCCGCGAUUCUCACUUACUUCUUACAAAACCCUCGAUCAAAAUAUUAUUCAUCCAGAAAAAUCUUACCAUCGAAGAAGAAGAAGAAGAAAAAUCCUUCAAUCCACUCAACGGCCUUUCUGAAGCAACUGGUUGCCAAGUAAAAAUUCUUAAUUUCUCUUUGACCCCAUUUAAGUUUUUCUUGUUCUUUCUCAAUUUUGAUCAAAAAGGUAAAAAUUUUGAUGUUGAGUUUGCGUUUUUGUUUUGAGAUUCUUGCAAAAGCUGAGUUUUUGAAUCCUGGGGGGAGCGUGAAAGAUAGAGUAGCAGUUAAAAUCAUUCAAGAGCUACAAUUGUAACUCUUUAAAGCUGCCCCUUGUCUGAAAAUUCGACUACCUUUGGUCCUUUGGAUUGAAAGCUAAAGUUUUUGUGGACCAAAGAAUUUGUUUUGCAUAUUUGAAUUGAAAGCUAUUGAGAAGUUUUGGGGUCAGUCGGGUAUUCUCUGACAGCUGAGGAAAAUCAAGGAGAACAAAUUUUGGGAUCUCUCACCUUCUGCAAUCUGGUGGACCAUUUGGAAAGACAGAAAUGCAAGGCUCCAUAGAAGGAACUUGUCUCAAUGAAUGAUUUCUGUCAAGCGUACUAUUUUCAAUUGGUCUCUUCAUACGAAACUGUUUGAUGGUUUCUGUUUGAGUACCUUAAUAUGUAAUUGGAUUGCCGCGAGUGAUAGAAGCUAACUAUUUACCUUUGUAUCUUUGGGAUUUCAGCUUCUCAAGCCUGCUCAUAGAGUCAAUUCUUAUGACUAUCUCAUUGCACAAUGACAGUGUGGAGAAGAAACUCACUCAAUCAUGCAGGUAGAACUAUGCUCAAAUAGGUAAGAUUAUAUGUAACUUCAUGGAAAAUCCCACCAAACUCUGGCGCCAACUAAUGAGCCAAGCAUACAAUAACUCUUUCUGGAGCUGUAAGUUUUUUACAAGGUGCUCCUUUACUUGAACUGUCAUGAUCAAUUGUAGAGAUGCAUAAUAAGUGGUUGGUUGCUGCUGGACUGUUCAAAUAUUAAGAUAUGGGAUGAUCCUUGGUUGGCUGGUGAACAAAGUCAUAUUAUCUUCAAAGAUAUUUGUCAAGUGGAAAAUGAUGUCUCAAGAAUCAAUCUCAUGGUGCAAAGUUCGAAUAAAUGGAACUCAGAGCUUAUAAACAAGCUAGUUCCACUUUACAUUGUUGAGCAGAUUAUGAGUAUGUACUUCCCAAACUCUGAAGACCAGAUCAAGAAGAAAAUUAUGUGGCUCCACCACCCUACUGGCAGCUUUUUCUACAAAAUCCUUCAAGUUGACUGCAUCACUUUGGAAGAAAUUCUGGAAAGUUUCUGACAUUGAUCCCAAGGUUCUAAUGUUUAUGUGGAGAAUGUUGCAGGAGGGCCUUGCUCUUGCCACUGGCAUUGGAAGAUUGUUGAAGACAUAAACUUGGAGUGCAGGCUGUGCAAUAAUGCUUUGGAAACAACUGGUCAUCUGAUGCUGCAUUGCCAAGAUAGUGUUGUUCAGCUCUCCUAUAAAUUUCAGGUCAAACCUUUAAGUGCCCAACGGAUUUUAUUACGCAGAUUCAUAAUCUUUCUGGCAAGUUUUAGGCCAGUUGAGCUUAAAUUAUCUGAAAAUGUGGUAACGAGGUUGCUCACAUUUAGGCUAAAUCUGGUUUCCAACAGUUGGCUUACUUCUCCUCCUCUUUGUAUUACGGCUCUGCUUCAAUCAGAGAGUAGCUAGCUUCUCGUUUUUCUGUUUUGUUCUUCCUGUGCA